UUAAGUGACUAAGCGUACACGGUGGAUGCCUUGGCAGUCAGAGGCGAUGAAGGACGUAGUAACUUGCGAUAAGCGUAGAUGAGGCAGUAACAGCCACUUGAGUCUACGAUUUCCGAAUGGGGAAACCAACUGGCAUAAGCCAGUAUCAUUGAGUGAAUACAUAGCUCAAUGAAGCGAACCGGGAGAACUGAAACAUCUAAGUACCCCGAGGAAAAGAAAUCAACCGAGAUUCCGAAAGUAGCGGCGAGCGAAAUUGGAUUAGCCCUUAAGCUUUACAUGUGUUAGACGAACGGUCUGGANNNNNNNNNNNNNNNNNNNNNNNNNNNNNNNNNNNNNNNNNNNNNNNNNGCCAUGGGCAGGUUGAAGGUUGAGUAACAUCAACUGGAGGACCGAACCGACUAAUGUUGAAAAAUUAGCGGAUGACUUGUGGCUAGGGGUGAAAGGCCAAUCAAACUCGGAGAUAGCUGGUUCUCCCCGAAAGCUAUUUAGGUAGCGCCUCGGACGAAUACUACUGGGGGUAGAGCACUGUUAAGGCUAGGGGGUCAUCCCGACUUACCAACCCUUUGCAAACUCCGAAUACCAGUAAGUACUAUCCGGGAGACACACGGCGGGNCUAAAUACUCCUGACUGACCGAUAGUGAACCAGUACCGUGAGGGAAAGGCGAAAAGAACCCCUGUGAGGGGAGUGAAAUAGAACCUGAAACCGUGUACGUACAAGCAGUAGGAGCACCUUCGUGGUGUGACUGCGUACCUUUUGUAUAAUGGGUCAGCGACUUAUAUUCAGUGGCAAGGUUAACCAUCUAGGGGAGCCGUAGGGAAACCGAGUCUUAACUGGGCGCCAUAGUCUCUGGAUAUAGACCCGAAACCGAGUGAUCUAGCCAUGGGCAGGUUGAAGGUUGAGUAACAUCAACUGGAGGACCGAACCGACUAAUGUUGAAAAAUUAGCGGAUGACUUGUGGCUAGGGGNGAGGGAAACAACCCAGACCGCCAGCUAAGGUCCCAAAUUACAGCUAAGUGGGAAACGAUGUGGGAAGGCUUAGACAGCUAGGAUGUUGGCUUAGAAGCAGCCAUCAUUUAAAGAAAGCGUAAUAGCUCACUAGUCGAGUCGGCCUGCGCGGAAGAUGUAACGGGGCUAAGUUGUAAACCGAAGCUGCGGCAAUGUUCUNNNNNAUCAGAAGUGCGAAUGCUGACAUGAGUAACGACAAGGGGGGUGAAAAACCUCCCCGCCGGAAGACCAAGGGUUCCUGUCCAACGUUAAUCGGGGCAGGGUAAGUCGACCCCUAAGGCGAGGCUGAAAAGCGUAGUCGAUGGGAAACGGGUUAAUAUUCCCGUACUUCUUACAAUUGCGAUGGGGGGACGGAGAAGGCUAGGNGUUUAGGUAAAUCCGGACACUCUUAAGGCUGAGACACGACGUCGAGCUACUACGGUAGUGAAGUCAUUGAUGCCAUGCUUCCAGGAAAAGCCUCUAAGCUUCAGAUUGUAAGGAAUCGUACCCCAAACCGACACAGGUGGUCGGGUAGAGAAUACCAAGGCGCUUGAGAGAACUCGGGUGAAGGAACUAGGCAAAAUGGUACCGUAACUUCGGGAGAAGGUACGCUCUUGAUGGUGAAGUCCCUUGCGGAUGGAGCUGACGAGAGUCGCAGAUACCAGGUGGCUGCAACUGUUUAUUAAAAACACAGCACUGUGCAAAAUCGUAAGAUGACGUAUACGGUGUGACGCCUGCCCGGUGCCGGAAGGUUAAUUGAUGGGGUUAGCGUAAGCGAAGCUCUUGAUCGAAGCCCCGGUAAACGGCGGCCGUAACUAUAACGGUCCUAAGGUAGCGAAAUUCCUUGUCGGGUAAGUUCCGACCUGCACGAAUGGCGUAAUGAUGGCCACGCUGUCUCCACCCGAGACUCAGUGAAAUUGAAAUCGCUGUGAAGAUGCAGUGUACCCGCGGCUAGACGGAAAGACCCCGUGAACCUUUACUACAGCUUGGNGGGCUAAUCACGGUUGGACAUCGUGAGGUUAGUGCAAUGGCAUAAGCCCGCUUAACUGCGAGAAUGACGGUUCGAGCAGGUGCGAAAGCAGGUCAUAGUGAUCCGGUGGUUCUGAAUGGAAGGGCCAUCGCUCAACGGAUAAAAGGUACUCCGGGGAUAACAGGCUGAUACCGCCCAAGAGUUCAUAUCGACGGCGGUGUUUGGCACCUCGAUGUCGGCUCAUCACAUCCUGGGGCUGAAGUCGGUCCCAAGGGUAUGGCUGUUCGCCAUUUAAAGGGGUACGCGAGCUGGGUUUAGAACGUCGUGAGACAGUUCGGUCCCUAUCUGCCGUGGGCGUUGGAAGAUUGAAGGGGGCUGCUCCUAGUACGAGAGGACCGGAGGGGACGAACCUCUGGUGUUCGGGUUGUGUCGCCAGACGCAUUGCCCGGUAGCUAAGUUCGGAAUCGAUAACCGCUGAAAGCAUCUAAGCGGGAAGCGAGCCCUGAGAUGAGUCUUCCCUGAUACUUUAAGUAUCCUNNNNNNNNNNNNNNNNNNNNNNNNNNNNNNNNNNNNGGAGCGGUAGUUCAGUUGGUUAGAAUACCGGCCUGUCACGCCGGGGGUCGCGGGUUCGAGUCCCGUCCGCUCCGCCACUUAUUUAG
rnacentral:sRNA from 1 species